CGCUGCCGGCCGCUUUAAAUCUCUGGGAGAAAAUGAUUUUUGGUGGAAGAAACGGGGAUGCUCGCGGCAUCUCCCCGCUGCCGGCGCCGAGCGAAAGUUUGCACGAGGAAUGAAGGGAGAGGGAACCGCGUCGUGCGCGGGGAGCGGCGAGGAGGGACGGGGAGUCCCGGCCGGGAGGAUGCGGAGGUGCCCCCCAUCCGCUGCGGGAGCCGCGCCUUUGGGGCCGUCCUUAGAAACGGGGGCGCCGGGAGUCAGCCCGAUUACACGUGGAGGAUCCUUCGGAGCGGGGAGCGCUGCGGGACUGAGCGAUGCGGGGGGAGAUAAGCCCGCUUGAGUUCUUUCCCCUUUUAUUAUUGUUAUUUUUUAAAGGACACCGAGAUCCGCGUAAAUGUGAAGCCGCGCUGUGCCGAUUAUACAUACACAGCAGCCCCUGACAGUGCCUUGUCACUUUCGGGGCUCAGCGUCUCUUCGAGCGCUGUCGAGGAAACGCAGUCACCAAAUGAGGAGCGAAGGGAAACUGAGGCACGGGCUGUCCUAGGGGCACGCAGCCCCCCCGGCCCCACCUCGCUCUGCCAGAUGCCGUCCUCCCGCCCCGCACUCUCCUCACGUCCCAGCACAGCAGUUUUUAGAGUAACCCUGCCGCUGCCUGAAUGCACUCCCCCCCACUAAAGACAUGAUGAUGGCUGAGUAAAUGGAAAAAAUCAUUUUUCAACAAUAAAGGAAGAGUGUUUGGAAAAGGAAGGCCCUGCUGAGGUGUAGAGGAAGCCUGUUUAUUAGCACUGGACACCUCUUAUCUCAGGGAGCUCCAGAUGGAUGUCCCCUUGGCAAUUCCCACUCUGCCAAGUGGGGUAAGCAGUGACAGCUUUAAGAAGCCUUCCUCCCCUAGUGAAAAUCGUCCGUAUGAUCCGAAGAAUGUAUAUCAUCUGUCACCUUUAAGGAUGCAGUGCUGCAAGGGAUGGAGGAGUAUUUUUUUUCUGAGCUGAGAGGCAUCUAGUAACAAUUUAAAACAGUAGCCUCGAGGCUACACUGUUUAUUUUAACAGGAUGCAGCUGCUUGGGAUGUUCCGUAGGUACUGAAUAAGCCAAAGGAUUUGGGAGCCUGAAGCAGAACAUGGGGUGGCUGUAGGUAUCUGUGUGCAAGCUGCCACUGCAGCUUAUCCCACUCCAGGGCCACUCUCUGAGUGCUGCCUCUGUGCCCAAGUAAGGGACAGUGGGGAAUGGUGCUCUCUGGAAGUCCCACCAGGGGCCAGUGCAUGUGCCUCCUCCAUGCCUAGGGGCUCUGGCAGAAAUGCACUCAGUUCUGCUUUCUUUGCAAGAUGUCCUCAUGGUGGUGUCAGUUCCCAUCUUUCAUAGGAUAGCCUACAAGUGAGGGUGUCCAUCCUAGCGGGGGGAAAUGUGCUUUUAACACUUUCCUCGUCCUGAAGGCAGGCAAAGUUUUGGCUCCUUUCUCCCACAAAAAUGCCUCAGCCAUCAGACUGGGAAAUUGGAUGAUCUUUUCCCCUUGUUUCAGGGUUGUGUCUUGCUGCAGAAAGGAACCAGACUAUCAAAGAGCUGAAAGGAGAGGAAACGAGACAGCCUGAGCUAGUGAGAGGUGCUUACAGUGAACUGGGGGAGCAGCACUCAGCAUUCAGAGUGCUGUACUUCUGCCCAUGACAGACAGCACUGUAAGGCAAUGUACAUCUCUAGUCCAGGUGUUAACAUGCUGCUGGGGCAUGGUGUCCAUGUUGCCCCUCCUCCUGCCCUCAGCAGCCUGCAGUCCUCUCUAUGGUUCUGUGUGGCUUCCCUAGAGUGCAUGGAAAGGGAGGAUGUGGCAGCAGCUAGCAUGAAAACACUGAUAUCUCUUAUGGGACCAACAGGGACCUGCACAAACAUCUCAUCCCACAGUGCCCUGCGCUGUGACCCAAGUUACCUGCAGUUACCAAUGGCUCACACUUGGUAGAGCCAUGACGAAAAUAAUGUAGGUGCCUUCUUCUGGAGAGGAAAUACGUCCUUAACAUAAAGGUCAAAUGGCAUUUGUAACAACAUUAAUAACUUCAGAGCAUCAUGCUGUUAGAUUCUAGGAAUGAUUAGACCUGCCUGGCUGUGCUGUUCGGUUGCUCUUACAAGAGAGAUGCACUGUUUACCUCCUGAGAGAUUCAUAAGGAAAAAAAAAUCCAAUCUGUAUCAAUGAGUAAGAUAUUUUCCUUACCAGAGAUAUCGAUUUAAAUAUUGACUUCACCACUGGAGGGUUAUUUCACUCUGUGCUUCAGAUACUCAUGGUAAAGUGACAUGUGUUUUAUGUACUAAUAAAAAUGUGAUUCCUGAGGCAGUCGUCUAU